rnacentral:rRNA from 1 species
UACGGGGGGAGCAAGCGUUGUUCGGAUUUACUGGGCGUAAAGGGCGCGUAGGCGGCCAGCACAAGUCAGUUGUGAAAGUCAAGGGCUCAACCCUUGAAAGCCGGUGGAUACUGCUGGACUAGAGUCCGGAAGAGGCGAGUGGAAUUCCUGGUGUAGCGGUGAAAUGCGCAGAUAUCAGGAGGAACACCAAUGGCGAAGGCAGCUCGCUGGGACGGUACUGACGCUGAGACGCGAAAGCGUGGGGAGCAAACAGG